UUUUGGGGAUUUUUUUUCCAGGCUUUGCUUUAUGGUGUUGCAUGGGCUUCGUGGGUUCCAUAUUUUAGCUCUUCAUUGGGUAUCAUCUAUGUUCUGGCCAAACCAGCAAUAUAUGCGAUAAUUUCUGGUGAAGUACUGUCAACUGACCAGG